rnacentral:rRNA from 1 species
ACUCCUACGGGAGGCAGCAGUAGGAAUAUUGGGCAAUGGAGGCAACUCUGACCCAGCCAUGCCGCGUGAAGGACGAAGGCCCUAUGGGUUGUAAACUUCUUUUAUUUGGGAAGAAAACACUCUACGUGUAGAGUACUGACAUUACCAAACGAAUAAGGAUCGGCUAACUCCGUGCCAGCAGCCGCGGUAAUACGGAGGAUCCAAGCGUUGUCCGGAAUUAUUGGGCGUAAAGAGCUCGUAGGCGGUUUGUCACGUCUGCUGUGAAAAUCCAAGGCUCAACCUUGGACUUGCAGUGGGUACGGGCAGGCUAGAGUGCGGUAGGGGAGAUGGGAAUUCCUGGUGUAGCGGUGGAAUGCGCAGAUAUCAGGAGGAACACCAAUGGCGAAGGCACAUCUCUGGGCCGUAACUGACGCUGAGGAGCGAAAGCGUGGGGAGCGAACAGGAUUAGAUACCCUGGUAGGUCAGU